UCCACGUCAUCAUUCACAUAUGAGGGUUUUAUGCCACGUGGCAACUCAAUCACUUCAGCUUCCUCGAACUUCAGCCGCACCUUUUCCUCUUAGCCUCGGUUCUACGAGGUAACGUCGAGUUGAAUCAAUGAAACCCAUUACCUCUUCUUAAAUGACUCUUUCCUCCGAUAAAUUUCACAAGUGAGUUUCAUAGUUCGUCUGUCUGCUAACGUUUUUUCAAGAGUUCUCCAGAAAGAUCCAAAAAUGAAUGGUUAAUUUCCAGAUUCUAUUUUCAGAAUUGAAGGAAGGUCAUUGCAGAGAAAAGGGGUAAGUUCAUGGGUGUUGACAUGGUUCUGAUUGACGGGAAGGUUAUCUGAUUCUCUUUAAUCUCUUGUAAGUUACUUUAAUCCAUGAUUUUAUUUUAAUGCUUCACCAUCUAGAUUCAAACACCUGCUCAAACAAGGAUCCCUUUUAUGAACUAACUGUUUUUUAUGUCACCAGGAGCAUCCAAAACUUCAGAUUCGCUGAUGCCCCUGUUUCAAUCAGAUUCAUAGAGCAAACAGGUUUCAUAAUUUCGACCAGCUAUUGUCACUGGCUAACACAAACACUGAAUUGCCAAUAACAUUGGGGGAGGUGCGGGGCAUAAGGACCACUUAGACCGAGAAACCCAAUCCACUCGACGCCUCAUGGCUGAAGCCUGAACUCAUUACUUGCUUCACAUAGAUCCCCUUAGCGGUUUGGUUGUUGUCAUCUGACCUUACGUCGUUUACAUGACAUCUAGCUUACAUCUUCAGGUUUCGUUAACAGGCUUCCCUGAAGUAUUAAUUAAGUCUGUGUGUGGUUAGGGAAAAGGUUCAUUCUCUGUGUUGUUGACUGCUUCCUGCUAUUCUGAGAUAUCUAAUUUUAGGAACUGUGGAUCCAAUUUAAUAUAUACAACUUUAUUUGUCUUUGGUACAUAACAGAGGAAGAAGCUUGGAAUAGGAAAACAUUCUCUCUUAACCCUUAGUUUUUCUGUAUCAAACUUAAAAAAUAUAUAUAUAUAUAUAUAUUAUGUGAUGAAUGUCAUGAUAAAUGUCUAUAACUUUGUGUAGUGGUAUUAAUUUUUAUUCAUUUUUCUCUAUAUCUUUUGCUAUUUUCAUGUGGAAAGGUGGAGGCUAUGGGUUGCAAAAUGUCAUUUAAUUGUUAAUGUCCGACUGUCUGAAUGCUCAAUUUUGCAGGGACGGACCUCGAUGAGGAAUUAGUAAUGUCAGGUGUGGAACCAAAGGUUGCUGUAGCCACCAAUAUCAACCCUAAAUUAGUUGGAGAGUUGGUCACCACAAGGUUGGUCUCGGUAGGAAGGUUCCUCCUCAACGUCUACAAAAUAUGGUGGUGUUAUGAAGAUCGAAACGUUAACACUGUCUGAGCUAAAUGCUUAUAUCACAUCUCCCCACAGGUGACCACUUUCACGUAACCCAUCUGUUAGUGCGUUUUUUGACCAACAGUUACUUUCACUUUCGUUGGUGCCUUAUCCAAAGUGUCCCCGAGAAAAAGAGCAAACGAGGAAAGAAAGCUUUCUUUUACAUGGUAUCUCACCAGAAUCAAUCUUGUUUGGACCGUGAGUAUCUCCAAACACAGAAUGUAUUGCAAUGAGGAAAGCAAGAUGAUCGUUGUGUAUGAGUAUAUGAAAAAGGGAACGCUUAAAGACCAUCUGUAUGACUCAGAUAAUCCUAGGUUGAGCUGGAGACAGAAGCUUUAGAUAUGCGCUAAAGGGCUUCACUAUCUCCAUACAUGUUCCGCAAGAGCCAUUAUACGCUGCGUGUGAAGUAUGCUUCAGGCCAUUGAAGCUCUCGACCCGAACCACAAACUGGUAGUUUACUAGAAUCACAAGAAGCAAACUCAAUUUGAAUAGAAAGACAACUUCAUAUCAUCAAACUGAUCCGUGGUUUGAGCAAACUUGAUGUAACAAAAGCUCCAAGAGCAACUCCAAGACAACAAGAGUGACUGACUACCUUUUGGAUAGAUAGAGAACAUUUUUUUUCUUUCAUUUCUUUUUUGUUGCAUUCAUCCAGAGUCUUUUGUUCUUUUUAUUAUCAUCAAAAUUUUCAGUAAACAAAUAGCCUACCUUAGCGUUAUAAACGUACAACUAGGAACAAUAAAUGUUCGAUUCUUUCGCUAAUGCCAUCUGAUAAUAAUACAAAAGAAAUUCAAU